AGUUCGAUUAUGGCUCAGAUUGAACGCUGGCGGGAUGCUUUACACAUGCAAGUCGAACGGCAGCACGGACUUCGGUCUGGUGGCGAGUGGCGAACGGGUGAGUAAUGUAUCGGAACGUGCCUAGUAGCGGGGGAUAACUACGCGAAAGCGUAGCUAAUACCACAUACGCCCUUCGAAGCUUGGGGGACCUUCGGGCCUCGCACUAUUAAACGGCCGAUAUCGGAUUAGCUAGUUGGUGGGGUAACGGCUCACCAAGGCGACGAUCCGUAGCUGGUUUGAGAGGACGACCAGCCACACUGGGACGAGACACAGCCCAGACUCCUACGGGAGGCAGCAGUGGGGAAUUUUGGACAAUGGGGAAACCUGAUCCGUAUCCCGCGUGUGCGAUGAAGGCCUUCGGGUUGUAAAGCACUUUUGGCAGGAAAGAAACGGCACGGGAUAAUACCCCGUGCAACUGACGGGCUACCUGCAGAAUAAGCACCGGCUAACUACGUGCCAGCAGCCGCGGUAUGCGUAGAGUGCAAGCGUUAAUCGGAAUUACUGGGCGUAAAGCGUGCGCAGGCGGUUCGGAAAAGAAAGAUGUGAAAUCCCAGAGCUUAACUUUGGGAACUGCAUUUUUAACUACCGAGCUAGAGUGUGUCAGAGGGAGGUGGAAUUCCGCGUGUAGCAGUGAAAUGCGUAGAUAUGCGGAGGAAUUUACCGAUGGCGAAGGCAGCCUCCUGGGAUAACACUGACGCUCAUGCACGAAAGCGUGGGAGCAAACAGGAUUAGAUACCCUGGUAGUCCACGCCCUAAACGAUGUCAACUAGCUGUUGGGGCCUUCGGGCCUUGGUAGCGCAGCUAACGCGUGAAGUUGACCGCCUGGAAGAUGCAGUCGCCAGAUUAAAACUCAAGGAAUUGACGGGGACCCGCACAAGCGGUGGAUGAUGGAUUAAUUCGAUGCAACGCGAAAAGCCUUACCUACCUUGACAUGUCUGGAAUCCCGAAGAGAUUUGGGAGUGCUCGCAAGAACCGGAACACAGGUGCUGCAUGGCUGUCGUCAGCUCGUGUCGUGAGAUGUUGGGUUAAGUCCCGCAACGAGCGCAACCCUUGUCAUUAGUUGCUACGAAAGGGCACUCUAAUGAGACUGCCGGUGACAAACCGGAGGAAGGUGGGGAUGACGUCAAGUCCUCAUGGCCCUUAUGGGUAGGGCUUCACACGUCAUACAAUGGUCGGGACAGUUAGCAGCCCGCGAGGGGGAGCCAAUCCCAGAAACCCGAUCGUAGUCCGGAUCGCAGUCUGCAACUCGACUGCGUGAAGUCGGAAUCGCUAGUAAUCGCGGAUCAGCAUGUCGCGGUGAAUACGUUCCCGGGUCUUGUACACACCGCCCGUCACACCAUGGGAGUGGGUUUUACCAGAAGUAGUUAGCUAACCGUAAGGAGGGCGAUUACCACGGUAGGAUUCAUGACUGGGGUGAAGUCGUAACAAGGUAG
rnacentral:rRNA from 1 species